UAACAAAAUGAAUAUAUGCAGUAAAGCUUCAAUUUGCUUUUAAGCUUUUGUAUGUUCAUUGUGGACUGGGAACCAAUCGUGUCUUGGAGCUGUGUUGGUCCAUGGUGGCUGUGCCGCUGCCAAUUCUUUUGGAGUGUGUCCUCUGGAAUCAGCGGCCCCAUCGCCAAGGGGCAAUGCCUGAUAGCCAGGCAAGCGUGGCCCCUUGGCAAUGGGGGCCGGAAUAUGCAUGAUAAUUAUCAUGCAUAUUCCGGCUCCUAUAACCAGAACAGGGCGAGAGUAUAAUUUACCAGAAACUCUAUUGCCAAAGCAUUCAAGAACAGUUUAAUUCUGUGAUGCAAUGAUUGUGAAUAGAACAGGCUUGGGAACCAAGAUGAAGAAACCCAACUGAGGUUUUGGAAUCUAGAUGAAGAAAUCAACAAUGAGGCUUGGGAUCCUCAAAAAAGUUCCCAACCCGUGGCUGGACCUGCCUGGCUAUUGGGCGUGGCCCCUUGGCGAUGGGGUUGCUGAUUCUAGAGGACAUACUCCAAAAGAAUUGGUAGUGG
rnacentral:lncRNA from 1 species